rnacentral:rRNA from 1 species
UGGGGAAUAUUGCACAAUGGGCGCAAGCCUGAUGCAGCCAUGCCGCGUGUAUGAAGAAGGCCUUCGGGUUGUAAAGUACUUUCAGCGGGGAGGAAGGCGAUAAGGUUAAUAACCUUGUCGAUUGACGUUACCCGCAGAAGAAGCACCGGCUAACUCCGUGCCAGCAGCCGCGGUAAUACGGAGGGUGCAAGCGUUAAUCGGAAUUACUGGGCGUAAAGCGCACGCAGGCGGUCUGUCUAGUCGGAUGUGAAAUCCCCGGGCUCAACCUGGGAACUGCAUUCGAAACUGGCAGGCUAGAGUCUUGUAGAGGGGGGUAGAAUUCCAGGUGUAGCGGUGAAAUGCGUAGAGAUCUGGAGGAAUACCGGUGGCGAAGGCGGCCCCCUGGACAAAGACUGACGCUCAGGUGCGAAAGCGUGGGGAGCAAACA